UGGGGAAUUUUGGACAAUGGGCGAAAGCCUGAUCCAGCAAUGCCGCGUGAGUGAAGAAGGCCUUCGGGUUGUAAAGCUCUUUUAGUUGAAAAGAAAAAGUCAUGACUAAUAGUCAUGACUCAUGACGGUAUCAACAGAAAAAGCACCGGCUAACUACGUGCCAGCAGCCGCGGUAAUACGUAGGGUGCAAGCGUUAAUCGGAAUUACUGGGCGUAAAGGGUGCGCAGGCGGUUCUGUAAGUCAGAUGUGAAAUCCCCGGGCUUAACCUGGGAAUUGCGUUUGAAACUGCAAAACUAGAGUGCGGCAGAGGGGGGUGGAAUUCCAUGUGUAGCAGUGAAAUGCGUAGAGAUAUGGAAGAACAUCGAUGGCGAAGGCAACCCCCUGGGCUAGCACUGACGCUCAUGCACGAAAGCGUGGGGAGCAAACA
rnacentral:rRNA from 1 species